rnacentral:piRNA from 1 species
GGUGAAAGGUAGUGAAGGGAAACGACCAC